UGUCUGUAACUGGCCGCUCCCUUGGAUUGCCUGUUCAAUUGAAUCCAUUCAGGCAGCCGGUAGCGGUGGAGGAUAGUGUGCUGUUGCUUCCUUGUUAUUCAAAUUGCUUUCUUUUUGGGAUGUAAAUUGAUUGAUUUACAAAAAUAAAGUAUUAAACACAUGCUUAUUAUUGUGUAA